rnacentral:sRNA from 1 species
AACAUUUCUCCCACUUCUCAUUCUCAUUGUUAAAUACUAUACAUGAAUCAAGAAAAAAUUUAACCAAUAAAGUAUCUUAUUUUUGCUUGUUUAAUAUAUUAAAAAAAUAUGAUCACUUUUUUAUUGCAAACAAUAAAUUUAAAAUAAUACUUCAGCUUUUCGUUUCAUUUGCUGAUACAACAUAAAUCCUCUCAACAAUUGAAGUGUAAAUCAUAAACUCGUGUUAAGAAAUAAACAUUUUCUUUGCUCAAAUUUAUUUAUUUUUUUAAUUUACAAUUUUAAAUAAUUGUAAUCUAAAAUAUCAUUGGUUUUAAAUAAAACACAUAACAUAAACAUUUUUUUCAUGCAGAAGCAUUCUAAACACUUUUGAGAGUUAAAAAAAAUACUUGUCAGCAAAGAGAGUGGCUGAUUAUUGAGCAUUAACCUUUUUUUGGUGAUCACUCAAGUUAUGAAAUUAUCUGGUGUGAUAGAAUAUUCAAAUAUGGCAGACGAACUUGACGUUGAAGCUAUGCUAGAGGCACCUUACAAAAAGGAGGUAAGUGGGUGUUUUUCUCUUUUAGAAAUGUAGGCUAAAGAGAGGAGAAAAUGGCUAAAAAAAAUUUUUUUUUUUUUCAAACUUUUCAUUUCAAAAGUGAGAAAGAUUCAAAACCAAAACAACAGUAAAAUUUUAUAAAUUUUUAAGCAUGUUUGUCUUUAUUACCCAAAACUUAUUACGCUAAUAAUUUUCUUGGGAGACAAUUGUUUUUUUAAACUUAAAAUAAUGAUUCAGUGUCUAAGUCUCAUUUCAGGAUAUCUUUGUAUUCAAGGUGUGACUUGAAACAGCUUUUGGUUAUAUUUCCCUUUAAAUGCCUAUCUGAUCAUCUUGCACUCAUUUGUCUCUGAGAUAAAGGACAAUAAUUAUCAAGUAAACACUUUUGUUGUUUUUUUUUUUAUAUUUAUUAAUGCAAAUUUUUCUUCGGUUAUUUCUCUCUUACCCUUACCCCAAUUCCUUGUUGCGCUGUGUUCCUGAUAACUUCAUAUGAUGUUUUUGGAUAUUCAGGAAGAAGGAAAAAAUGAAAAGUCUUCAUCAUCUUCAAGAAAAGAGAAGAAGUGCCCCUCUAUCUUGUAAUGGAGAACUUUGAAAUAGAUGAAAACCUGACAUGAUUGUGUUGCCAGAAAGAAAAGAAGCAGAAGUAGAAGUAGAGACAGAAGCAGAAAAAGGUAAAGCAAUGGGUAGAAAAUUUCUCUAUUUAACAGCUCCUAAUUUUAAUGACUUGAAAAUUAAUUUUAAUAUAUUCACUACUAUUUGUGAUUUUUUAAACUUCUAAACAAAAAAAAAGGUA